rnacentral:rRNA from 1 species
CCCCCCCCCCCCUCCUUCCUACCCCCCCCGCGGCCGUUAUUUCCCUCACCCCCGAGCAAAAAUUUCAAAAUGAAUCAAAACUUUCAACAACGGAUCUCUUGGUUCUGGCAUCGAUGAAGAACGCAGCGAAAUGCGAUAAGUAAUGUGAAUUGCAGAAUUCAGUGAAUCAUCGAAUCUUUGAACGCACAUUGCCAGUAUUCUGGCGGGCAUGCCUGUCCGAGCGUCAUUUCAACCCUCGACUCCGGGGGGUCGGCGUUGGGGAUCGGGAACCCUAAGACGGGAUCCCGGCCCCGAAAUACAGUGCGGGUCUCGCCGCAGCCUCUCCUGCGCAGUAGUUUGCACAACUCGCACCGGGAGCGGCGCGUCCACGUCCGUAAAACACCCAACUUCUGAAAUGUUGACCUCGGAUCAGGUAGGAAGCCCGCCGACCAGC